UGAGGAAUAUUGGUCAAUGGGCGAGAGCCUGAACCAGCCAAGUAGCGUGUGGGAAGAAUGCCCUAUGGGUUGUAAACCACUUUUGCAGGAGGGUAAAAUGCUUCACGUGUGGAGUAUUGCAAGUAUCCUGCGAAUAAGGACCGGCUAAUUCCGUGCCAGCAGCCGCGGUAAUACGGAAGGUCCAGGCGUUAUCCGGAUUUAUUGGGUUUAAAGGGAGCGUAGGCGGGGAGUCAAGUCAGUUGUGAAAAGCCACGGCCCAACCGUGGUCGUGCAGUUGAAACUGGUUCUCUUGAGUGCGCACGAGGACGGUGGAAUUCGUGGUGUAGCGGUGAAAUGCUUAGAUAUCACGAAGAACUCCGAUUGCGAAGGCAGCCGUCCGGAGCGUUACUGACGCUGAGGC
rnacentral:rRNA from 1 species